rnacentral:tRNA from 2 species
GAUCUCGUGGUGUAGCAGGCAAUCACAUCUGCCUAACACGCAGAAGGUCUCCGGUUCGAGCCCGGACGAGAUCA